GGGAUAGCAGGGCGAAGCCUGAUCCAGCCAUGCCGCGUGUGUGAAGAAGGUCUUCGGAUUGUAAAGCACUUUAAGUUGGGAGGAAGGGCAGUAAGCGAAUACCUUGCUGUUUUGACGUUACCGACAGAAUAAGCACCGGCUAACUCUGUGCCAGCAGCCGCGGUAAUAA
rnacentral:rRNA from 1 species